GCUUUUUAUGUGUACUUGCUGUAAACAUGGACAAAGAAAAAUAUGUUGGCUUUAGGCGGAUAUUAUAUGAGUUUCUGAUUACAAAAAGGAGCUUACAUCGUUUU